GGGGGGGGGGGGGGGAUGCGGCUUCGCCGCCGGCGCCCACCCAGCCCCUGCCUUUCCCACGGAGCCCUUGGGACCACCCUCCAUCCUCACCUUGGCCUUCUCCUCUUCUCCUUUCCUCCUCCUCACCACCACCUCUUCCUCCUCCUCUCCUUUAAAUCACCUCCUCUCCUGCCCGCUUGCUCCCAGAGCUCCUCCCCCGCUGGCCCCUCGGUCUCCCACUCCGAUGGGCUUCAGGUGACGGUCCCGUAACGGAGCUUCCCAGGUGGGAGCCGGGAGCCAUCCACGGCCCUCCCGGCUCGGCUCCGGCCCCGGAGGAGCGGGAGCAGCGGGACCCUAGCAGCCUGCGGAGCCACGGGCCACAGCCCGGGGAUGGCGGGGCCCAGGUGCGGGUGCCCGCCGGGACGCCGCGGGAGGUGGCCGUCGGGGACCCGCAGACCUCGCUCGCCACGGCGGGGCUCCGUCCGGACCGGCGGCCGCUCGACGCGGAGAGCCGGGCCGCCGUCUCGGACCGGGAGCGGCGAGGCCGCCCGCCGCAGACCCGGCCGCCCGGGCCCCGCUCCGCCCCACGCCGACCCCCGGGGGCCUCUGGGGCGGCCGGGCCCGAGCUCCACCGUGGCGGGGACCCCCGUCUCCCCCUUCCCGUCGGGGCAGGUGAGUCGCUCACUUAGAGACGCGCGGCCAGGUUGGGCGAGGGAGCCUUCCGCUCGCCCGCCGGGGCCGGAGGCCGGAGGGAGGUCGGGCAGGUGUGAAGGGCCGAACGAAGCUUUCGAAUUUCUUGGCCAAAUGGGCGGCCUCGCCCUCAGCGUCCCCGCUCCCGUCUCCGUCUUUCCCUUCCGGCUGGCCCAGGCCUUGCGAAGCAGAGAUCGGGCUCCCGGGAGGGAGCGAGGACCGGCCUGCCCGAGGAGGAGGAGGAGGAGGACGAAGAGGAGGAGGCGGCGGCGGCGGCCACCCCGCCGCAUCGCCUAGCUGGUGCAGGGCCGCGGGGAGCGGAGGCUUGGAGGGAGCCGGAGGCGCCAGGGGCCGCGGGACGGAGCCCGGCGUCGGAGGGGCGGCGGCCCUCGGCGGCAGAACCAAGCCGGGCCCCGGAGAGGAACCGGCGGGCGGCCGGCCGGGUCCCGGACCAGGGGGACGAGGGGAUCGAGGCGGACGAGCGGAGGCGGGCGCGGGGCCCGCCGGCCCGGCCGCGGCCAGAUGUCGCCCCCGGGACCACCGCGCCGGAGGCAGAGCC